AGGGAAGAAGCGAAAGUGACGGUACCUGCAGAAAAAGCACCGGCUAACUACGUGCCAGCAGCCGCGGUAAUACGUAGGGUGCAAGCGUUGUCCGGAAUUAUUGGGCGUAAAGAGCUCGUAGGCGGUUUGUCGCGUCUGCUGUGAAAACUGGAGGCUCAACCUCCAGCCUGCAGUGGGUACGGGCAGACUAGAGUGCGGUAGGGGAGAUUGGAAUUCCUGGUGUAGCGGUGGAAUGCGCAGAUAUCAGGAGGAACACCGAUGGCGAAGGCAGAUCUCUGGGCCGUAACUGACGCUGAGGAGCGAAAGCAUGGGGAGCGAACAGGAUUAGAUACCCUGGUAGUCCAUGCCGUAAACGUUGGGAACUAGAUGUGGGGGCCAUUCCACGGUCUCCGUGUCGCAGCUAACGCAUUAAGUUCCCCGCCUGGGGAGUACGGCCGCAAGGCUAAAACUCAAAGGAAUUGACGGGGGCCCGCACAAGCGGCGGAGCAUGCGGAUUAAUUCGAUGCAACGCGAAGAACCUUACCAAGGCUUGACAUAUACGAGAACGGGCCAGAAAUGGUCAACUCUUUGGACACUCGUAAACAGGUGGUGCAUGGUUGUCGUCAGCUCGUGUCGUGAGAUGUUGGGUUAAGUCCCGCAACGAGCGCAACCCUCGUUCUAUGUUGCCAGCACGUUAUGGUGGGAACUCAUAGGAGACUGCCGGGGUCAACUCGGAGGAAGGUGGGGAUGACGUCAAAUCAUCAUGCCCCUUAUGUCUUGGGCUUCACGCAUGCUACAAUGGCCGGUACAAAGGGCUGCAAUACCGUAAGGUGGAGCGAAUCCCAAAAAGCCGGUCUCAGUUCGGAUUGAGGUCUGCAACUCGACCUCAUGAAGUCGGAGUCGCUAGUAAUCGCAGAUCAGCAACGCUGCGGUGAAUACGUUCCCGGGCCUUGUACACACCGCCCGUCAAGUCAUGAAAGUCGGUAACACCCNNAUUAGGACUAAGUCGUAACAAGGUAGCCGUACCGGAAGGUGCGGCUGGAUCACCUCCUUUCUAAGGAGCACUCGAGGAUGCCUCUGUAUACAGGGCUA
rnacentral:rRNA from 1 species